rnacentral:rRNA from 1 species
GGACUUUGAAAAGAGAGUCAAAAAGUGCUUGAAAUUGCUGGGAGGGAAGCGAAUGGAUGCCUUUGUUGCCCGCUGGUUGUGUGCGGAACGGUGUAAAAACUGGUCUGUCAACCAAUUCAGCGGGCUCGCUAGUGUGGGGGUGGAUGCCGGGAUAAAGAUCCCGGGCUUUGUUUGGGAUUGAUGCCGGUGUCCACUCUGUGGCCUGGGGUGUGCGCCUUUCUGGCGGGCCUUGUGCACCUGCACACCCGGGACGCUGGUGGCUUUAGGUUUUUCAUUCGACCCGUCUUGAAACACGGACCAAGGAGUCUAACAUGUAUGCGAGCCUGCGGGUGUUUACACCUUGCUAGGCGUAAGGAAACUGACGUGUGGGAUCCCCUUGUGGGUGCACCACCGACCGACCAUGAACUUCUGUGAAAGGUUCGAGUGUAAGCAUACCUGCUGGGACCCGAAAGAUGGUGAACUAUGCCUGAGCAGGGCGAAGCCAGAGGAAACUCUGGUGGAGGCUCGUAGCGAUACUGACGUGCAAAUCGUUCGUCAGACUUGGGUAUAGGGGCGAAAGACUAAUCGAACCAUCUAGUAGCUGGUUCCCUCCGAAGUAUCCCUCAGGAUAGCUGGAGCUCAAAUUGAGAGUUUUAUCAGGUAAAGCGAAUGAUUAGAGGCAUUGGGGGUGAAACACCCUCGACCUAUUCUCAAACUUUAAAUAGGUAAGGUGUCGGGGUUGCUCCGGUGAACCCCGACCUUUGAAUCU